UACGUAGGGGGCUAGCGUUGUCCGGAUUUAUUGGGCGUAAAGAGCGUGUAGGCGGUCCGGUAAGUCCGCUGUGAAAGUCGGGGGCUCAACCCUCGAAUGCCGGUGGAUACUGUCGGGCUAGAGUGCGGAAGAGGCGAGUGGAAUUCCUGGUGUAGCGGUGAAAUGCGCAGAUAUCAGGAGGAACACCUAUUGCGAAGGCAGCUCGCUGGGACGUAACUGACGCUGAGACGCGAAAGCGUGGGGAGCAAACAGG
rnacentral:rRNA from 1 species